CAACUUCCAGAGAGCAUUAGGCGAGUUCCUUCAUCCCCGGGCUCCCUUUAUUGGUUCCUGCAGACUCCAGAAGAAUAUGAACGUUCUUCCCACAGGAGGACGGUCACCCCGCAUGAAUUCCAAGACUCCUCACAAGUGGAAACCUCCCUCAUUGUCUGUGGGUCAUAAAGUGUACCUGCUC